GGACCAAGGAGUCUAGCAUGUGCGCGAGUCGUUGGGACUUGCGAAACCCAAAGGCGCAAUGAAAGUGAAGGCCAGCCUUGCGCAGGCCGAGGGAGGAUGGGUCGCGUCACGACGCGGCCCCGCACUCCCGGGGCGUCUCGUUCUCAUUGCGAGAAGAGGCGCACCCAGAGCGUACACGCUGGGACCCGAAAGAUGGUGAACUAUGCCUGGUCAGGACGAAGUCAGGGGAAACCCUGAUGGAGGUCCGUAGCGAUUCUGACGUGCAAAUCGAUCGUCGGAACUGGGUAUAGGGGCGAAAGACUAAUCGAACCAUCUAGUAGCUGGUUCCCUCCGAAGUUUCCCUCAGGAUAGCUGGCGCUCGCCGUUGCGAGUCUCAUCCGGUAAAGCGAAUGAUUAGAGGCAUUGGGGUCGAAACGGCCUCAACCUAUUCUCAAACUUUAAAUGGGUGAGAUCUCCGGCUUGCUCGAACUUGAAGCCGCGAGAUUACACUUUAUAGUAAAAGGAUCAGAGUGCCAAGUGGGCCACUUUUGGUAAGCAGAACUGGCGCUGUGGGAUGAACCAAACGCAGAGUU
rnacentral:rRNA from 1 species